GGCUGCUUGGACACGGAUGUGCUUCAAGUGAUUUCCACCAGCCAGGAUUCGAGCUCACUGCUGCCAAAUCCCAAGCUUGCUUAGGAUGGAGCAGUGGCAGUGUCCAGAGACUGGGUAAUUUCCCAUUGAAUAAAGAGCACUCAGCAGUCCCUGUACCAGGUUUCAACACAGUAAAGAGCAAGCUUCAAAUUUUCAG